rnacentral:rRNA from 1 species
GACGAACGCUGGCGGCGUGCUUAACACAUGCAAGUCGAACGGGUCUGCCCUGUUUUUUGCGGGGUGGGUCAGUGGCGAACGGGUGAGUAACACGUGAGUAACCUGCCCCUCACUUCUGGAUAACCGCUUGAAAGGGUGGCUAAUACGGGGUGUUCUGGCUGUGCCGCAUGGUGUGGCUGGGAAAGAUUCACUUUUGUGGUGUUUUGGUGGGGGAUGGGCUCGCGGCCUAUCAGCUUGUUGGUGGGGUGAUGGCCUGCCAAGGCUUUGACGGGUAGUCGGCCUGAGAGGGUGGGCGGUCACACUGGGACUGAGAUACGGCCCAGACUCCUGCGGGAGGCAGCAGUGGGGGGUAUUGCACAAUGGGCGGAAGCCUGAUGCAGCGACGUCGCGUGAGGGAUGGAGGCCUUCGGGUUGUGAACCUCUUUCGCCGGUGAAGAAGGUCCUGCUCUUUGUGGUGGGGUUGACGGUAGCCGGGUUAUGAAGCGCCGGCUAACUACGUG